rnacentral:lncRNA from 1 species
CCUCAAUAAAAACCUGCUGGUUUUGUGGCUCAGGUGGACAUCACGGUCCUACCGAUAUGUGAUUCAGCCCCGGAGUCCCAGCUGUAAAGUUCCUCUCUUUGUACUCUUUCUAUUUAUUUCUCAGCCAGCCAACACUUAUGGAAAAUAGAAAGAACCUAUGCUGAAAUAUUGGGAGCUGGUUCCCCCGAUAUCUGGUGCGCCAACAUGGUUUUCUUUUUCCUAAGUGCAUGUGGGAACCCGAUUCCCUUUGGUAGGUGCAGUGAAACGUUCAUCGGUCCGGUCCACAGAAACGCUUGUUUGGCUCCCUGACGAUUGGCACGUCCAGUGCAGCGCCCAAUUUUCUGGAGCUCAUCCUGUCUCCUGAAUUUUCAACCAUGCACUCUACCUUGGCUCUGCUGUGGCCAGCUGACUUCCGGUGGGGCCUCUGCAAUCCUGCCACCUAAGGGCCACCAGCCAUACUCCUGGUGUCCCUGGCUCCUGUCUGAAGUGCCACACUUGCAGGGCAUGGGGUGGUAUCACUGGAGCCAAAUGAUGAACCCUGGGAAGCUGAGUUGUUACCUUGCAAUGAGGUUGUUCUGGUGACUACUCAGGUGUGACAAAGUACCCCAAAGUUUAGGGGUUUAUAACAACCAUUUAAUUAGGCUUUAAUGAGUUCUGUGGGUCAGUAGGGCACAGUAGGACUGGCAUGUCUCUGCUCUUCAAUGUCUGAGGCCUCAGCUGAGGAGACAAUGGCUGGGAGUGCCCCCACAGCUGUGGGCUAGAAUCAUAUGAACGUAUAUCCAUGCAGGUGGGGCUGCGUGCUGGGGCCAUAGCUGGAGCUGUCACCCAGAGCCCUUACACGUGGGCUCACAUGGUGCCCUUCAGGUAGCUGAUUUCUCUCAUGGCAGCCGAGGGCUCCAAGCAUGAGGGCCCCGGUGAAUAAAGCAGAAGCUGCCCAGCAUCACUCCUGCUGCGUGUCCCCACCUCAAGACGGGAGAAAUGGCAAAGAAUUUGCAGUUCUGUUUAAAAACUGCCAUGGGGAAAACUGCCCCAAUGGGAGAUGAGGUGUAGAAGACAAAGUCCUGAGAACACAUGGACACAUGGAGGGAACACACACACCAGAUCCUUUCUGAGGGUGGAGGGUGGGAGGAGGGAGAGGAUCAGGAAAAAUAAUGAAUGGGUACUAGGCUUAAUACCUGGGUAAUGAAAUAAUCUGCACAACCAACCCCGUGACACACGUUUAUGUAUGUAACAAACCUGCAUAUGUACUCCCGAACU